ensembl:lncRNA
GGGGAGAUUCAGGUAGAGACCAGACCAGACCAGACCAUGUGAGUCAGUGGGGAGAUUCAGGUAGAGACCAGACCAGACCAUGUGACUCAGUGGGGAGAUUCAGGUAGAGACCAGACCAGACCAUGUGACUCAGUGGGGAGAUUCAGGUAGAGACCAGGCCAGACCAUGUGACUCAGUGGGGAGAUUCAGGUAGAGACCAGACCAGACCAUGUGACUCAGUGGGGAGAUUCAGGUAGAGACCAGACCAGACCAUGUGGCUCAGUGGGGAGAUUCAGGUAGAGACCAGACCAGACCAUACCAUGUGACUCAGUUGGGAGAUUCAGGUAGAGACCAGGCCAGACCAUGUGACUCAGUGGGGAGAUUCAGGUAGAGACCAGACCAGACAAUGUGACUCAGUGGGGAGAUUCAGGUAGAGACCAGACCAUGUGACUCAGUGGGGAGAUUCAGGUAGAGGCCAGACCAUGUGACUCAGUGGGGAGAUUCAGGUAGAGACCAGACCAUGUGAGUCAGUGGGGAGAUUCAGGUAGAGACCAGACCAGACCAGACCAUGUGACUCAGUGGGGAGAUUCAGGUAGAGACCAGACCAGACCAUGUGACUCAGUGGGGAGAUUCAGGUAGAGACCAGACCAGACCAGACCAUGUGAGUCAGUGGGGAGAUUCAGGUAGAGAACAGACCAGACCAUGUGAGUCAGUGGGGAGAUUCAGGUAGAGACCAGACCAGACCAGACCAGACCAUGUGAGUCAGUGGGGAGAUUCAGGUAGAGACCAGACCAGACCAGACCAGACCAUGUGAGUCAGUGGGGAGAUUCAGGUAGAGACCAGACCAUGUGAGUCAGUGGGGAGAUUCAGGUAGAGACCAGACCAGACACCAGACACGACUUAAAGUGGAUUGUUUGUUAAAAGUCCCCCAGAUAGAACAGGGAGCAACAGCAACAUAUUCUCUAGAUAGAACAGGGAGAACUACCAAUACGUCUUCAGAAACAUGUCACAUGUCUUAAGUAGCACCACUCGUCAGGAGACACG